UACGAAGGGGGCUAGCGUUGCUCGGAAUUACUGGGCGUAAAGGGCGCGUAGGCGGAUACUUAAGUCGGGGGUGAAAGCCCAGGGCUCAACCCUGGAAUAGCCUUCGAUACUGGGUAUCUUGAGUACGGGAGAGGUGAGUGGAACUCCGAGUGUAGAGGUGAAAUUCGUAGAUAUUCGGAGGAACACCAGAAGCGAAGGCGGCCAACUGGCCCGAUACUGACGCUGAGGCGCGAAAGCGUGGGGAGCAAACAGG
rnacentral:rRNA from 1 species